ACAGCCUUGAGGGUAGGGGCCGACCGCGGAAGUGGGGCCUGACAGCCGGUGGAGCUGCUUUUACCGUGAGCGCUUCCCAUGUGGUGGAGAGCCUCCAGCUGCGAGGAAGACGACGCGCGCUCGCACUCAAGGCCUCCUUUGCUCAAUCAGCCCUACUUCCAGAGGCCGGAGGACAGGAUGGGGGACCUAAAGGUUACUCCAGUGCCCUCCCAAACCACUGGUGACUGACAACUGGAACAUGAGACCUUUUCUCAAACACAAUAGCCAUCCUUUAUGAUUGUUGGACAUGGAUAAGUAGCUCAAAGACCAGGCACGUGCCUACCACAGUCAUACAACCCAUGCUGAGGCAGUCUUAGGAGGCUGAGGCAGGAUUGUAAACUUGAGUUUAGUGUGAACUAGUGAGACCCUGAGUUUAAAAGAAAAAAAAAUUCACUUAGGGUCAGAGAUGGCUCAAGAGGCUAAAAACACUGCCUGUCUUUCCAGAGGACCCUGAUUCAAUCACCAGCACUCACCUAGCAGCUUACGAAGGGCUGUAGCUCCAGCUCUAGGUGAUCUAACACCCUCACACAAACACACAGGCAAUCGAGAAUACCAAUGCAUUUUUAAAAUAGGAAUAAAUUAUUUUCACUCAC
ensembl:processed_transcript 4930502E09Rik RIKEN cDNA 4930502E09 gene